GAGUUUGAUCAUGGCUCAGGACGAACGCUGGCGGCGUGCUUAACACAUGCAAGUCGAACGGUGACCUCGGAGCUUGCUCCGGGUGAUCAGUGGCGAACGGGUGAGUAACACGUGAGCAACCUGCCCCCGACUCUGGGAUAACCCCGGGAAAUCGGAGCUAAUACCGGAUACGAGACGCACAGGCAUCUGUUGCGUCUGGAAAGAAUUUCGGUCGGGGAUGGGCUCGCGGCCUAUCAGCUAGUUGGUGGGGUAGUGGCCUACCAAGGCGACGACGGGUAGCCGGCCUGAGAGGGCGACCGGCCACACUGGGACUGAGACACGGCCCAGACUCCUACGGGAGGCAGCAGUGGGGAAUAUUGCACAAUGGGCGCAAGCCUGAUGCAGCGACGCCGCGUGAGGGAUGACGGCCU
rnacentral:rRNA from 1 species